GACGAACGCUGGCGGCGUGCCUAAUACAUGCAAGUUGAGCGAUAAAGCUUGGUGCUUGCACCAAUUUGAAGAGCAGCGAACGGGUGAGUAACGCGUGGGGAAUCUGCCUUUGAGCGGGGGACAACAUUUGGAAACGAAUGCUAAUACCGCAUAACAACUUUAAACAUAAGUUUUAAGUUUGAAAGAUGCAAUUGCAUCACUCAAAGAUGAUCCCGCGUUGUAUUAGCUAGUUGGUGAGGUAAAGGCUCACCAAGGCGAUGAUACAUAGCCGACCUGAGAGGGUGAUCGGCCACAUUGGGACUGAGACACGGCCCAAACUCCUACGGGAGGCAGCAGUAGGGAAUCUUCGGCAAUGGACGAAAGGCUGACCGAGCAACGCCGCGUGAGUGAAGAAGGUUUUCGGAUCGUAAAACUCUGUUGGUAGAGAAGAACGUUGGUGAGAGUGGAAAGCUCAUCAAGUGACGGUAACUACCCAGAAAGGGACGGCUAACUACGUG
rnacentral:rRNA from 1 species